rnacentral:rRNA from 1 species
CAGUAGCCGCGGUAAUACGAAGGGGGCUAGCGUUGCUCGGAAUGACUGGGCGUAAAGGGCUCGCAGGCGGUUUCUUAAGUCUGAUGUGAAAGCCCCCGGCUCAACCGGGGAGGGUCAUUGGAAACUGGGAAACUUGAGUGCAGAAGAGGAGAGUGGAAUUCCACGUGUAGCGGUGAAAUGCGUAGAGAUGUGGAGGAACACCAGUGGCGAAGGCGACUCUCUGGUCUGUAACUGACGCUGAGGAGCGAAAGCGUGGGGAGCGAACAGGAUUAGAUACCCGCGUAGUCCCUGUCUCUUAUAC